AUGACUCUCGACAACGGCUAUCUCGACUCUUUUCAUGAUGAAGAAUGUAGGGAAAUGCGAUACUUAGUGUGAAUUGCAGAAUCCCAUGAAUCAUCGAGUUUUUGAACGCAAUUUGCACCCAAGGCCUCGGUUGAGGGCACGUCUAUCUAGGUGUCGCAUCCUACACACAUGCGCUCCCUGCUAGGAAUUAGGGAGGAGAGGAGAUGGUCAUCUAUUCCCAACAUGGUUCUAUCGACUGAAAUACAUGCCAUGAUCCAUGUAUUGUGUCAGCGAGCGGUGAUAUUGUCCCCUUGUUUGGGCAAGUCGACGUUGGUUGAUGCAGGGUGUGUGCAGCGUUUUGGGAACUUUCUUUGCCCAUCGAAUUUCCAUCUUGGUGGAGGUAUUUGGCUCCAACAUGCGACCCCAGCUCAGGUGAAAAAACCCAUUGAGUUUAAGCAUAUAAUUAAGUGGAGGAAAAGAAACUUACAAGGAUUCCCCUAGUAAUGGUGAGCGAACCGGGAAGAGUCCAGCAUGAAAAUCGGGUGGCAGCGUCACCUGAAUUGUAGUAUGUAGAAGAGUCCUUAAUGGUGGACCAAGCCCAAGUCCCCUGGAAUGGGGUGCCUGAGAGGGUGACAGCCCCAUCGGGCUAGGACCCUGUCGCACCACGAGGUGUUGUUAGUGAGUUUGGUUGUUUGGGAAUGCAGUACUUAUUGGGUGGUCAAUUUCGUCCAAGGAUAAAUAUAGGCAAGAGACCGAUAGCGAACAAAUACCAUGAGGGAAAGAUGAAAAGGACUUUGAAAAGAGUGUUAAAGAGUGCUUGAAAUUGUCGAGAGGGAAACAGAUGGAGGUCGGCGAUGCAUCUCGGUCGAAUGUGGAACGACUCAAGCUGGUGCACUGCUCGACUUGAGGUGCGAACCAGCACAGGCCAUUGCAUCGACACAAGAACGAGUGGAGUACUGCCUGUUGGUUUGUCAUUGUGGCUAUCGAGGAAUGAAGCGUGCGCCCUUGGGGUGAGCCACUGUGCACUUGCAUGCUCAUGGUUUUGGUUGGUAGGCUUUCCAUUCGACCCGUCUUGAAACACGAACCAAGGAGUCUAACAUGUGUGGGAGUCGGUGGGUUUGUAAACCUGCGAGGCAUAAAGAAGCUAACAGGCGAGAACCCCUCUCCAUGGUUUCCUCCGAAGUUUCCUCCGAAGUUUCCCUCAGGAUAGCUGGAGCUCACAUGCGAGUUUUAUCGGGUAAAGCAAAUGAUUAGAGGCAUCAGGGGAGUAAUUCCCUCGACCUAUUCUCAAACUUUAAAUAGGUAAGAUGGUGCAGUUGCUCCAUUGAGCCGUGCCACAGAAUCGAGAGCUCCAAGUAGGCCAUUUUUGGUAAGCAGAACUGGAAAUGCGGGAUGAACCGAAAGUUGAGUUACGGUUCUAAACUGCGUGCUAACCCAAAUCCCACAAAGGGUGUUGGUUGAUUAAGACAGCAAGACAGUGGUCAUGGAAGUCGAAAUCCGCUAAGGAGUGUGUAACAACUCACCUGUCGAAUCAACUAGCCCCGAAAAUGGAUGGUGCUAAAGCGCGUGACCUAUACUCGACCAUCGGAGCAAUUUCCAGGCUUAGAUGAGUAGGAGGACUUGGGGGUCAUUGAGAAACCUUGGGCGUGAGAUUGGGUGGACUGGCGCCUGGUGCAGAUCUUGGUGGUAGUAGAAAAUAAUCAAAUGAGAACUUUGAAGACUGAAGUGGGGAAAGGUUCCAUGUGAACAUCAACAGUCUUCACGAGUUGCUAUCGCGGUGAGGGCGGGUAGUCGCGUGUCGAUUGGGCUACGGACGUAGAAUGUCCUCCCAUGGGGGAUUUUCCCUAGGCGGUGAACAGUCAGCUCAGAACUGGUAUGAACAAGGGGAAUUCGACUGUUUAAUUAAAACAAAGAAUUACAAUGGUCCCUGCGGAUGCUGACACAAUGUGAUUUCUGCCUAGUGCUCUGAAUGUCAAAGUGAAGAAAUUCAACUAAGCGCGGGAAAAUGGCGGGAGUAACUAUUGAGCUUGACUCUAGUCCAACUUUGUGAAAUGACUUGAGAGGUGUAGAAUCAGUGGGAUCCAUUUUUGGCACAAGUGAAAUACCACUACUUUUAACAUUAUUUUACUUAUUCCAUGGGGCGGAGACGGGGCAUUUCCCCUCUUUUUGGCCUUAAGACAUGUUUCAACGGGUCGAUCCGGGUGGAAGACAUUGUCAGGUGGGGAGUUUGGUUGGGGCAGCACAUUUGUUAAGAGAUAACUCAGGUGUCCUAAGAUGAGCUCAAUAAGAACAGAAAUCUCAUGUGGAACAAAAGGGUAAAAGCUCAUUUGAUUUUGAUUUUCAGUACGAAUACAAGCCGUGAAAGUGUGGACUAUCGAUCCUUUAGACUUUCAGAAUUUGAAGCUAGAGGUGUCAUAAAAGUUACCACAAGGAUAAAUGGCUUGUGGUAGCCAAGCGUUCAUAGCGACGUUGUUUUUUGAUUCUUCGAUGUCAUCUCUUCCUAUCAUUGUGAAGCAGAAUUCACCAAGUGUUGGAUUUUUCACCCACCAAUAGGGAACGUGAGUUGGGUUUAUACCAUCGUGAGACAGGUUAGUUUUACCCUACUAAUGAACCAUGCUGCAAUAGUAAUUCAACUUAGUAUGAGAGGAACUGUUGAUUCACACAAUUGGUCAUCACGCUUGGUUGAAAAUCCACUGGCGCGAAGCUACCGUGUGUCAGAUUAUGACUGAACGCCUCUGAGUCAUAAUCCAUGCUAGAAGCGGUGCUUGUCACUUCUCGGCUGUAUCUUGACCCAUAGUAGGGGUGUCAUUUUAGCACCCCCAGGGGCCCAUGUCACUUGCAAACCUCAGCCGGGAAGCGCCUCGAUCGGGGUAGCUUUGAAGUUCAAUUUCAAAUGGUCGUUGAGAAGAAUCCUUUGAAGAUGACUUAAAUACUCAACGAGGUAUUGUAAGUGGCAGAGUGGCCUUGCUACCAUGAUCCAUUGAGAUUCAGCCCUUCGUCGCCUCUAUUCAGAGCAUAUGCU
rnacentral:rRNA from 1 species